UAGACAAAAGCUGGCAGGUGGAAGCCUUGU
rnacentral:piRNA from 1 species